UGCCAUGCCACCCACAAUGGAAGGUCCGGGACCGGAGAUAGACAAGUGUCUGCACGCAGCAUCAUACUGCGGGAGGUUCUACCAAGCAUGUCAUGUGGAUAGUGGGACAUUCCUUUAUAUUUUGGGCUAAAAGGUUGCUCCGGGUGACGGCAGAAUGUUGAGCGGCAUAGCAAAGGGUCCUGAUUGGUUGAUUCGGUCGGGAUUGAGCCAGGCAUAGGUUAUAAAUGCUGGUGGCUUUACCGCUCUGUUCACCGCCUGAGGAGACCCCCCGCUGAAGACAGAGCCCCAUGCUGUUCCCACCCA